UUUAUAGUUGAAAUUCUUAAUUUCAUUUUCCUAUUUAUGACCCUAUAUGAUUAGAAAAAAUUAAAUUUUUCAGAAGGCAUUGCUUUUUUUCAAACUGAAACUUUAUUUUUUUAAACCAAGUAGACAAAGUUCCUAAUGUUGAACCUUUCACUGAUUCUCAGACGUCAAAAUCACCUGGAAAGUCUGACGGGUCUGCUGUUCAGCAUCCGAAUCCUGGGCAACUAGCCCAAAACAUCAAUAAAAUCAACAAGUUCAUGGAGCUGUUGGCCAAAGUUAUUGAAAUGGAGAACGAACUGGCCGAGUCGCAAAACCAUUUUGCAGCAAAAUUCUAUCCUGAAACUGAUUCUGGUGCAUCGACUGAUGAUGGAAGCGAAUUUGGAGUUUCCCCAAAGACUCAAGGCAUCAAUAGUGUUAAUGAAUUGAAUAAGAAGAAUUAAUAUAUAUUUUCUUGUUUGUUGAAAUAAUAAAAAAUUUUCGGGUUAUAAA